GUGCCAGCAGCCGCGGUAAUACGGAGGAUGCGAGCGUUAUCCGGAUUUAUUGGGUUUAAAGGGUGCGUAGGCGGAUUAAUAAGUCAGUGGUGAAAACCUUCAGCUUAACUGGAGACUUGCCAUUGAUACUGUUAGUCUUGAGUAUGGUUAAGGUAGGCGGAAUGUGUAAUGUAGCGGUGAAAUGCUUAGAUAUUACACAGAACACCGAUUGCGAAGGCAGCUUACUGAGCCAUAACUGACGCUGAUGCACGAAGGCGUGGGGAGCGAACAGGAUUAGAUACCCCGGUAGUCC
rnacentral:rRNA from 1 species